AUGCUCGGAGAAGGGCUGGGGAAACACGUUCCCUCCCCACGGCCCAGCCACGGAGCCGGCGUGCACCAGCCUGGCUGGAGAGAAAGAAGCUCCUGGGACAGCCCUGCCAAUGCCCCUCUGCUGAGCCCAGGCGGAGCAGGACCCCGGCCACCCCAGGGACCCCCUGGGGACCCCCACACCGCUGGGCUCAUCCAUCCUUGCCCGCUGCUCCCUGAUCCAUCGCAUCCCCAGCUACAUCCACCAGCAGCCCCCGGGGACUGGCUGUGUCCUGGGGAGGUGCUGGGGCAGGGGGGGCUGCGGGGGCUCACCAGGGCUCACCCACCUGACCUCCAGCACCCUCGGGCCCGUCCCGCUGCGGCCGUGCCAGGCCUGGCGGAGCUGCACGGGGAAGUUUUCACCUUCUGCCAUCCCCGGUCCGUCGGGAGGCAAACGCGGCUAUUUUUAUCCCAGCUAAGUGCUCCUGCAGGCGAGCGUGAGAUGCUUUGCCAGGCUGGGGAGAGGGGGGAAAGGCGGGCGGUUCGGCGGGUACCAUGGCGUGGGGAUGGGGAGCGGGAUGGGGAUCCGUGGGUCCGGGCGGGGAGCAGCCCCCAAACCGCUGCAGGAGCGAGUCUGUCCCCAGCGGGUGCAGGCAGCGGCCCCGCGGUGGCUGUGCUGGGUGCAGAUACCUCAGCAAACGCAUCUGGCCGGGGAUGGACACGGUGGCAAAGUCAGGCAGAGAGCAUCCUUUGUGGACACCUCGCAGAUGCAGAAAAUCAGGAAGAUCACCAGGGCAGCGUCCGAGGCUCCCACCGACGCUCGCGUGCCCGACGCAGCACUGCUGGCUCCGUCCACCACCGCAGCACCCAGCAGCUCCGGGCGGGCAGGAGCCAUCCUGCGACCUCCAGGGCUGGCGAACAAGGAGGACGGGUGGCUUUUUGUCAGCACCGGGGUGGUGGCCGGAUCCAGGGGUCCUGCAGGAGCUGCCCGUGCGGCACAAAGGGCAGGGGGUGUAGGGGAUUUAAAGGAUGA
rnacentral:lncRNA from 1 species